CCCCUCUCAGGGUCACACCUGGAGAGUUUCCAGAACUCUACCAGUCUUGACUAUGGGAGGGAGAGCCAAGUAGAGGCAUACCCUUUCCAUUUUUUGCUUGGGCAGUGGCUAGAGAGUGGAAGGCAAUCUUCUACAAGU